GCCGGUGUUGAUUACGGUGAGGUCCCACCCGUUCCCAUUCCGAACACGGUCGUUAAGCUCACUGGUGCCGAAAAUACUUGGAUGGCGACGUCCCGGGAAGAUAGGUUGAUGCCGGCA
rnacentral:rRNA from 1 species